rnacentral:rRNA from 1 species
UUAAAUUGAAGAGUUUGAUCAUGGCUCAGAUUGAACGCUGGCGGCAGGCCUAACACAUGCAAGUCGAACGGUAACAGGAAGCAGCUUGCUGCUUCGCUGACGAGUGGCGGACGGGUGAGUAAUGUCUGGGAAACUGCCUGAUGGAGGGGGAUAACUACUGGAAACGGUGGCUAAUACCGCAUAACGUCGCAAGACCAAAGAGGGGGACCUUCGGGCCUCUUGCCAUCAGAUGUGCCCAGAUGGGAUUAGCUUGUUGGUGAGGUAACGGCUCACCAAGGCGACGAUCCCUAGCUGGUCUGAGAGGAUGACCAGCCACACUGGAACUGAGACACGGUCCAGACUCCUACGGGAGGCAGCAGUGGGGAAUAUUGCACAAUGGGCGCAAGCCUGAUGCAGCCAUGCCGCGUGUAUGAAGAAGGCCUUCGGGUUGUAAAGUACUUUCAGCGGGGAGGAAGGUGUUGUGGUUAAUAACCGCAGCAAUUGACGUUACCCGCAGAAGAAGCACCGGCUAACUCCGUGCCAGCAGCCGCGGUAAUACGGAGGGUGCAAGCGUUAAUCGGAAUUACUGGGCGUAAAGCGCACGCAGGCGGUCUGUCAAGUCGGAUGUGAAAUCCCCGGGCUCAACCUGGGAACUGCAUUCGAAACUGGCAGGCUUGAGUCUUGUAGAGGGGGGUAGAAUUCCAGGUGUAGCGGUGAAAUGCGUAGAGAUCUGGAGGAAUACCGGUGGCGAAGGCGGCCCCCUGGACAAAGACUGACGCUCAGGUGCGAAAGCGUGGGGAGCAAACAGGAUUAGAUACCCUGGUAGUCCACGCCGUAAACGAUGUCUACUUGGAGGUUGUGCCCUUGAGGCGUGGCUUCCGGAGCUAACGCGUUAAGUAGACCGCCUGGGGAGUACGGCCGCAAGGUUAAAACUCAAAUGAAUUGACGGGGGCCCGCACAAGCGGUGGAGCAUGUGGUUUAAUUCGAUGCAACGCGAAGAACCUUACCUGGUCUUGACAUCCACAGAACUUUCCAGAGAUGGACUGGUGCCUUCGGGAACUGUGAGACAGGUGCUGCAUGGCUGUCGUCAGCUCGUGUUGUGAAAUGUUGGGUUAAGUCCCGCAACGAGCGCAACCCUUAUCCUUUGUUGCCAGCGGUCCGGCCGGGAACUCAAAGGAGACUGCCAGUGAUAAACUGGAGGAAGGUGGGGAUGACGUCAAGUCAUCAUGGCCCUUACGACCAGGGCUACACACGUGCUACAAUGGCGCAUACAAAGAGAAGCGACCUCGCGAGAGCAAGCGGACCUCAUAAAGUGCGUCGUAGUCCGGAUUGGAGUCUGCAACUCGACUCCAUGAAGUCGGAAUCGCUAGUAAUCGUGGAUCAGAAUGCCACGGUGAAUACGUUCCCGGGCCUUGUACACACCGCCCGUCACACCAUGGGAGUGGGUUGCAAAAGAAGUAGGUAGCUUAACCUUCGGGAGGGCGCUUACCACUUUGUGAUUCAUGACUGGGGUGAAGUCGUAACAAGGUAACCGUAGGGGAACCUGCGGUUGGAUCACCUCCUUACCUUAAAGAA